CUACGGGAGGCAGCAGUGGGGAAUAUUGCGCAAUGGGCGAAAGCCUGACGCAGCGACGCCGCGUGCGGGAUGACGGCCUUCGGGUUGUAAACCGCUGUCGGGGGGGACGAAGCUCUGACGGUACCCCCAAAGGAAGCACCGGCUAACUCUGUGCCAGCAGCCGCGGUAAUACAGAGGGUGCGAGCGUUGUCCGGAAUUACUGGGCGUAAAGGGCGCGUAGGCGGCUCGGUAAGUAGGGGGUGAAAUUCCGCGGCUCAACCGUGGAACGGCCUUCUAGACUGCCGGACUUGAGCAUGGUAGAGGCAGAUGGAAUUCCCGGUGUAGCGGUGGAAUGCGUAGAGAUCGGGAAGAACACCAGUGGCGAAGGCGGUCUGCUGGGCCAUAGCUGACGCUGAGGCGCGAUAGCGUGGGGAGCAAACAGGAUUAGAUACCCUAGUAGUCC
rnacentral:rRNA from 1 species